AGUGAACGCUGGCGGUAGGCCUAACACAUGCAAGUCGAACGGCAGCACAGUAAGAGCUUGCUCUUACGGGUGGCGAGUGGCGACGGGUGAGGAAUACAUCGGAAUCUACUUUUUCGUGGGGGAUAACGUAGGGAAACUUACGCUAAUACCGCAUACGACCUACGGGUGAAAGCCGGGGAUCUUCGGACCUUGCGCGAUUGAAUGAGCCGAUGUCGGAUUAGCUAGUUGGCGGGGUAAAGGCCCACCAAGGCGACGAUCCGUAGCUGGUCUGAGAGGAUGAUCAGCCACACUGGAACUGAGACACGGUCCAGACUCCUACGGGAGGCAGCAGUGGGGAAUAUUGGACAAUAGGCGCAAGCCUGAUCCAGCCAUACCGCGUGGGUGAAGAAGGCCUUCGGGUUGUAAAGCCCUUUUGUUGGGAAAGAAAAGCAGCAGGUUAAUACCCCGCUGUUCUGACGGUACCCAAAGAAUAAGCACCGGCUAACUUCGUG
rnacentral:rRNA from 1 species